UACAGCGGACACAGGUGGUGCAUGGUUGUCGUCAGCUCGUGUCGUGAGAUGUUGGGUUAAGUCCCGCAACGAGCGCAACCCUUGCUUUAGUUGCCAUCAUUAAGUUGGGCACUCUAAAGAGACUGCCGAUGACAAAUCGGAGGAAGGUGGGGAUGACGUCAAAUCAUCAUGCCCUUUAUGUACUGGGCUACACACGUGCUACAAUGGUCGGUACAACGAGAAGCAAGCCAGCGAUGGCAAGCAAAUCUCUAAAAAGCCGAUCCCAGUUCGGAUUGCAGGCUGCAACUCGCCUGCAUGGAGUCGGAGUUGCUAGUAAUCGCGGAUCAGAAUGCCGCGGUGAAUGCGUUCCCGGGUCUU
rnacentral:rRNA from 2 species